AGCUUGCUCUGCUGAUCAGUGGCGAACGGGUGAGUAACACGUGAGUAACCUGCCCUUGACUCUGGGAUAAGCGCUGGAAACGGCGUCUAAUACCGGAUACGACCUUCCCCGGCAUCGGGUGGGGGUGGAAAGAUUUUUUGGUCAAGGAUGGACUCGCGGCCUAUCAGCUUGUUGGUGAGGUAAUGGCUCACCAAGGCGACGACGGGUAGCCGGCCUGAGAGGGUGACCGGCCACACUGGGACUGAGACACGGCCCAGACUCCUACGGGAGGCAGCAGUGGGGAAUAUUGCACAAUGGGCGAAAGCCUGAUGCAGCAACGCCGCGUGAGGGAUGACGGCCUUCGGGUUGUAAACCUCUUUUGGCAGGGAAGAAGCGAAAGUGACGGUACCUGCAGAAAAAGCACCGGCUAACUACGUGCCAGCAGCCGCGGUAAUACGUAGGGUGCGAGCGUUGUCCGGAAUUAUUGGGCGUAAAGAGCUCGUAGGCGGUUUGUCGCGUCUGCUGUGAAAUCCCGAGGCUCAACCUCGGGCCUGCAGUGGGUACGGGCAAACUAGAGUGCAGUAGGGGAGACUGGAAUUCCUGGUGUAGCGGUGGAAUGCGCAGAUAUCAGGAGGAACACCGAUGGCGAAGGCAGGUCUCUGGGCUGUAACUGACGCUGAGGAGCGAAAGCGUGGGGAGCGAACAGGAUUAGAUACCCUGGUAGUCCACGCCGUAAACGUUGGGCGCUAGAUGUGGGGACCAUUCCACGGUUUCCGUGUCGCAGCU
rnacentral:rRNA from 1 species